UUAAUAUAAUUUGAUUUCUCAAAGAAUAGUGUUAUCAGACUGCAUGACAUUUCAUCAAACUAGUUUUAUAAAUGGUCUUCUGACAGCCUUAUCCCUCCAGCAGGGUUAACCGCUGAGGGCGCUGCCGAAGCAAAUUAGAAGUUUCACAAAGGGUGGACACAAUUACCCCGAAGGGUAAAAGAGGUGUACAGUGGCCCUACACGCAGACGAAUCCAACAUGUAUGACCCCAGACAUUUUUUGUAAUGAUCCUUCCGCAGGUUCACCUACGGAAA
rnacentral:misc_RNA from 1 species